GAAUCGUGGGUUAUCCUCUCCUAACUCACAUGGACGUCCCGAAGGUACGGUAAGAUAAUAAUCGAGACGGUUUCAGAGCUCGAGACGGUGGCAGAGCAGACCUCGCCUAACCCGUCGGUGCCACCACAAACUGAAGCUGGGAAAGAGUAGAGAGGAGAGGAGAGAAAGAGAGAGACUUCAGAAUUGGUCUCGUUCUUCAUCCGAAGAGGUACCGAACGACAAUCAAACCUGGCCGUGACCCGAAACUACUACCACCUCUCCCUCUCUCUACUCCCUCUUCGUUACCGGCACUUGUCCGGUGCCGUCCUUCCUCUUCCUCGUCUUCGGCGUCGCCGUGGCCGUGGCCCUGGUCGUCCGUGUCCCCUCUUCCAACUCCCCGUCUCCCUACUGCCUCUUUCUCUGCUGCCGCUCCUCGCCUUCCUCUUCUCGCUCCUCCUUCUGCUCCGCCUCCUUUUCUUUCUGUUCCACCUCGACCUUCUCACCAGGCUCUAUUCCGACCGGUAGCGCCUCGACAGGGGCUAGUCGGCCGCGCCGCCGUUCGACACGUGGAGCGGAGGGUGCGACGGGAAGGAGCCGGAGAGGGUGGAGGAGGAGGUCGAGGAGCUAUUCUAACCAGGCUGUUACCGUCACGACGCCGAGCUGCAGGUUGCCUUGUAGCUCUCCGACGUCCUCGAUAUGAACGUCCUGGGUAGAUUUAUGAGGUGAGACUGCCGCUACCAGCUCUUUCUCCGGCUGCUGCCGUGGCACUCCUUCCGGCUAUCGACACGUUCUCGAUAAGAUACCGAGUGAUCUAGGUACCUAAAGUGACAACGUGACAAUGUCUCUGACCUCUUCCUCCUCCUCCUCCUCCUCCUCCUCCCAAGACUAGUCGUCUCGGAACGUGUCGAGCAUCUUCUACGCAUGUUCCAGAGAGAGUUCGGUACCGUACCGACCUAAAGAAGGCGCCGUACGUUCUAGCGCAACUUCGAGUAGGGACUCUCCCGCUAGAAGCAGCCGACCGAGUACCCCCUUUUGGUCUCAAUGUCAGAGGAGUUCCAGCUCUAGCUCUUCGAGCAGGUCGACGAGGUCGGGAAAGAGCUGCUGUAGGUACGGUACGACCGGUUCAAGUUUGACCUGUCCGACUUCAGCUGGACUCCCGCUUACGAUUCUACCAGAGGUAAUAGUUUAAGGUGAAGACACUUAUGGCGGAACCAAACAUGAAACAUCACAUGUACAAAGAGAAAAAACUCGACAGGCACUAGCACGCGGAGUGAGACAUUUAUCCAGAAGUACAUCCCAUCCUGAUCUAAACAUCGCGAGGAACGCCCAUGCUCAAGACGGAUCAGUUACAUGAACAGGUAGAAAGAUCGUCAUUUAACGUAAAAGGUGGCACGUAGAGCUGUGAUUGACGGGUCUUCAACCGAAACAAACAUCUCCGAACGAAGUCAUGUAACUGUACGAGACUUGAUUCCCUCCAAAUCUGUACUUAGUUUAAGUCUCUAGUGUUACUUAAUCGGGGCUUAAGUCUCCCCUAAA
rnacentral:rRNA from 1 species